CUUCUCCGGACUGUCAGUUCUCGAUGGGCGCUGGCGGCGAUGACCUUCUGAAGAUCAUAGUUGCCGACGAUGAUGUCGACAAUGACGAGCGGACUCCGCAGAUUCUCACCGAUCCUGCUUUCCCGGCUGCCUGCUCUACAAACAGCAAUGACCAACUUCACUGCGGCACAUUCACUGUUCCUGCCCUUGCAGCACCCAUUGGGGUCGGCGACUCGUCUCCAUGUUUUACAUCAGAGCCAUGAAGGCGGUACUUUCUUCCAACGCGAGUCCUGAAGUGAUGAAAAGGUUCUGCGUUACAU